CGGUGACAGGUGCUGCAUGGCUGUCGUCAGCUCGUGUCGUGAGAUGUUGGGUUAAGUCCCGCAACGAGCGCAACCCUCGUCUUUAGUUGCUACCAUUUAGUUGGGCACUCUAAAGAAACCGCCGGUGAUAAGCCGGAGGAAGGUGGGGAUGACGUCAAGUCCUCAUGGCCCUUACGCGCUGGGCUACACACGUGCUACAAUGGCGGUGACAACGGGCUGCAACCUCGCGAGGGGAAGCUAAUCCCAAAAAGCCGUCUCAGUUCGGAUUGUUCUCUGCAACUCGAGAGCAUGAAGGCGGAAUCGCUAGUAAUCGCGGAUCAGCAUGCCGCGGUGAAUACGUUCCCAGGCCUUGUACACACCGCCCGUCACACCAUGGGAGUUGGAUUGACCCGAAGGUGGUGAGCUAACCCGCAAGGGAGGCAGCCAAC
rnacentral:rRNA from 1 species